rnacentral:lncRNA from 1 species
GGAGUAGCAGGGCUGACUCCAAGUUGAAGAGCAAGGUGAAGCCGACCUUCGAGGAACUUUUGGCCAAGUACAAGAAGGGAGGAACUAACCAGAAACAAGGAAGUUGGGCAAAUAAAGAGAAAGGGUUGAAUUCUUCACCUAAACGUAAGGAACAACCGUACUUUUAUGAACCUCAAGUUAAUUAUGUUGCUGCACCUUAUUCAUAUGUUGGACCGACUACACCAUGUUCUUGGCCAUAUCCUCGAUAUUAUUCACCUUUUGAUUAUGGUAGUUUACAUAUGCAACCAUAUAUCAUUCAAU